CACGCAGGCGGUGCUGCGCGUUUCGCGUGACAGCGGGUGGCUUAACUGCCCGAGGGUGCGAAAGACGGCAGCACUGGAGGGCCAGAGAGGGACACGGAAUUCCGGGUGGAGUGGUGAAAUGCGUAGAGAUCCGGAGGAACACCGAAGGCGAAGGCAGUGUCCUGGCUGGUGACUGACGCUGAGGUGCGAAAGCCAGGGGAGCGAACGGGAUUAGAUACCCCGGUAGUCCUGGCCGUAAACGAUGACCACCAGGUGUGGGAGGGCUCGACCCCUUCCGUGCCGGAGGAAACCCAUUAAGUGGUCCGCCUGGGGAGUACGGUCGCAAGAUUAAA
rnacentral:rRNA from 1 species